UGGGGAAUUUUGGACAAUGGGCGAAAGCCUGAUCCAGCAAUGCCGCGUGUGUGAAGAAGGCCUUCGGGUUGUAAAGCACUUUUGUCCGGAAAGAAAUCCUUGGCUCUAAUACAGUCGGGGGAUGACGGUACCGGAAGAAUAAGCACCGGCUAACUACGUGCCAGCAGCCGCGGUAAUACGUAGGGUGCAAGCGUUAAUCGGAAUUACUGGGCGUAAAGCGUGCGCAGGCGGUUUGCUAAGACCGAUGUGAAAUCCCCGGGCUCAACCUGGGAACUGCAUUGGUGACUGGCAGGCUAGAGUAUGGCAGAGGGGGGUAGAAUUCCACGUGUAGCAGUGAAAUGCGUAGAGAUGUGGAGGAAUACCGAUGGCGAAGGCAGCCCCCUGGGCCAAAUACUGACGCUCAUGCACGAAAGCGUGGGGAGCAAACAGGAUUAGAUACCCUGGUAGUCCACGCCCUAAACGAUGUCAACUAGUUGUUGGGGAUUCAUUUCCUUAGUAACGUAGCUAACGCGUGAAGUUGACCGCCUGGGGAGUACGGUCGCAAAGAUUAAAACUUAAAUGAAUUGACGGGGUCAUAGCU
rnacentral:rRNA from 1 species